rnacentral:rRNA from 1 species
CGUAACAAGGUUUCCGUAGGGUGAACCUGCGGAAGGAUCAUUG